rnacentral:rRNA from 1 species
AACGAACGCUGGCGGCGCGCCUAAUACAUGCAAGUCGAGCGAGAAGACGUAGCAAUACGUUUGUAAAGCGGCGAACGGGUGAGGAAUACAUGGGUAACCUACCCUCGAGUGGGGAAUAACUAGCCGAAAGGUUAGCUAAUACCGCGUACGCUCCUUGGACUUCGGUUCAGGGAGGAAAGCGAUACCGUGGGUAUCGCGCUCUUGGAUGGGCUCAUGUCCUAUCAGCUUGUUGGUGAGGUAACGGCUCACCAAGGCUUCGACGGGUAGCUGGUCUGAGAGGACGAUCAGCCACACUGGCACUGCGACACGGGCCAGACUCCUACGGGAGGCAGCAGUAAGGAAUAUUGCGCAAUGGGCGAAAGCCUGACGCAGCGACGCCGCGUGGGGGAGUGAAGGGUAC